AUUGAACGCUGGCGGCAUGCCUUACACAUGCAAGUCGAACGGUGACAGGUUAAGCUGACGAGUGGCGAACGGGUGAGUAAUGUAUCGGAACGUGCCCAGUCGUGGGGGAUAACUGCUCGAAAGAGCAGCUAAUACCGCAUACGACCUGAGGGUGAAAGCGGGGGAUCGCAAGACCUCGCGCGAUUGGAGCGGCCGAUAUCAGAUUAGGUAGUUGGUGAGGUAAAGGCUCACCAAGCCGACGAUCUGUAGCUGGUCUGAGAGGACGACCAGCCACACUGGGACUGAGACACGGCCCAGACUCCUACGGGAGGCAGCAGUGGGGAAUUUUGGACAAUGGGCGCAAGCCUGAUCCAGCCAUGCCGCGUGCGGGAAGAAGGCCUUCGGGUUGUAAACCGCUUUUGUCAGGGAAGAAAAGGUUCUGGCUAAUACCUGGGACUCAUGACGGUACCUGAAGAAUAAGCACCGGCUAACUACGUG
rnacentral:rRNA from 1 species